GGGGGGGGGCGGAGAGUCUCUUCUUCAGAUUGCACCUAACCCGAUACCGACGGUCGCCGACCGCUGGGACACGGAUCGGCCACCACGAACGAAUCGCUCUCUUCGUCUAUAAAUCACAGAUCGCUUGGGGGGAUUCCUUUGCGGGAUUCGUCGCGUAUUUUCCGUUUCGGCGAGAACUCCGCCUCGAUCGAGGCCUAGUUGACCGGUCGCAUGAAUCAGCCGGCAGUCGAACGGAGAAACGUCGCAGUCGCACGCCAUCCCGACACCCGGACACGCGUAUAAACAAAAUUGAAGCUUUUGAAAUUGGAAUUAGGUUUCUUCAGAUAUUAAAACAAACACACACACACACAUAUAUAUACUUCAAAAACAUACCGACGUAAAAGAAAAAAAAAAAAAAA